AAUAGCCUAACGGCUGAACCAGCAAUUUGGGGGAAUGUAUAGCGUAAGCUAGUUGUAUUAACUAUUAGUUAAUACAACAUCGACUACGUCGAAUAAAAUUCUAGGUAGAAUAAUGAUUAUGACAAUUUUCUAUCUAUAUGUCUUGACCAAAUCUCGUGCCAGCAGUCGCGGUAAUACGAGGAAGACUAGUGUUAUUCAUCUUUAAUAGGUUUAAAGGGUACCUAGACGGUAUUUCUAGCCCAAAAAGGGUACGGAUCUACUAGAGUUUUAUGUGAGAAGGGGAGUACUUUUGGUGUAGAGAUGAAAUUCUUUGAUACCUUGAGGUGACUGGUAGCGGCAAAAGCAACCUUCUAUGUAGAAACUGACGUUGAGGGACGAAGGCCUGGGUAGCGAAUAGGAUUAGAUACCCUAGUAGUCCAGGCAGAGAAUUAUGAAUGCCAUAGACUAGAUUAAGUUUGGUCUAUAAAUGAAAGUGUAAGCAUUCCACCUCAAGAGUAAUGUGGCAACGCAGGAACUGAAAUCAUUAGACCGUUUCUGAAACCAGUAGUGAAGUAUGUUAUUUAAUUCGAUGAUCCGCGAAAAACCUUACCACAAUUUGAAUAAGUACAAGCGCUGCACGGCUGUCUUCAGUUAAUGUCGUGAGAUUUUGGUUAGUUCCAUUAAAUUAACGUAAACCCUUGCUUUAUUUAUUCUUUUUUAAUAAAGCAGUUCGCCGCUAUAUUGAUUAUGAUAAAAGGGACUAAGACAAGUCAUCAUGGCCUGAAUAUUGUGGGCUAUAGACGUGCCACAUAUGCCUAUACAAAGGGAUGCAAAAAUGUGAAUUAGAGCUAAUCCCCUAAAGUAGGAUAUAAUAU
rnacentral:rRNA from 2 species